AUUGAACGCUGGCGGCAUGCCUUACACAUGCAAGUCGAACGGUAACAGGUCUUUCGGGAUGCUGACGAGUGGCGAACGGGUGAGUAAUACAUCGGAACGUGCCUAGUAGUGGGGGAUAACUACUCGAAAGAGUGGCUAAUACCGCAUGAGAUCUAUGGAUGAAAGCAGGGGACCUUUGGGCCUUGUGCUACUAGAGCGGCCGAUGGCAGAUUAGGUAGUUGGUGGGAUAAAAGCUUACCAAGCCUACGAUCUGUAGCUGGUCUGAGAGGACGAUCAGCCACACUGGGACUGAGACACGGCCCAGACUCCUACGGGAGGCAGCAGUGGGGAAUUUUGGACAAUGGGCGCAAGCCUGAUCCAGCAAUGCCGCGUGCAGGAUGAAGGCCUUCGGGUUGUAAACUGCUUUUGUACGGAACGAAAAGGCUUGGGUUAAUACCCUGGGAUCAUGACGGUACCGUAAGAAUAAGCACCGGCUAACUACGUG
rnacentral:rRNA from 1 species